UCCAUAGAAGGUGCUAGACCUGUACGGGUAAAGUUUGAAAUGAUGUAUACUAUUCCUUGGAGUCGGGUUGUUUGAGAUUGCAGCCCAAAGAGGGUGGUAAACCUCAUCUAAGGCUAAAUACGACCACGAGACCGAUAGCAAACAAGUACCGUGAGGGAAAGUUGCAAAGAACUUUGAAGAGAGAGUUCAAGAGGGCGUGAAACCGCUGAGAUGGAAACGGAUAGAGUUAACAAAACUUUACUCAUAUUCAGCCAAUUUUUAUAGCUCAUUUAUUGCAAUUAUUUUGUAUGAAAUGUAUGCAAGUACAUGUAAGUGCAAAUGUAUUGCAAAAUAAGUGUAUCAAAAGAUAUAAAAAAUUGGUGUAUUUAUGAGUAGUAUGCAUCGAGUACUUCGUUUUAAUGCAUAAAGAGUAUAUAAUUUAGAGGACUAUUGUGUAAAAAUUUAUGCAAAUAAAUUUUUAAAUAGAAACCUGAAUUGUAUAUGAAAUAUGUCAAUAAUGAAGUAUUAUAACCAUCAUUGCUUGUAAUGUAUUUGUAAGG
rnacentral:ncRNA from 1 species